GGCCUAUACAUGCAAGUCGAGGGUGAUUAUCGGAUUCGUCUGAUAUGAAACCGGCGCACGGGUGCGUAACACGUAUGCAACCUACCUUUAACUGGGGUAUAGCUCAGAGAAAUCUGAAUUAAUCCCCCAUAACACUACGACAUGGCAUCAUGAUGUAGUUAAAGCUCCGGCGGUUAAGGAUGGGCAUGCGGUACAUUAGCUAGUUGGUGAGGUAAUGGCUCACCAAGGCUACGAUGUAUAGGGGGUCUGAGAGGAUGAUCCCCCACACUGGUACUGAGACACGGACCAGACUCCUACGGGAGGCAGCAGUAGGGAAUAUUGGUCAAUGGACGAAAGUCUGAACCAGCCAUGCCGCGUGAAGGAUGAAGGCCCUCUGGGUCGUAAACUUCUUUUAUUAGGGAAGAAACCUCAGGAUGCGUCCUGAGCUGACGGUACUUAAUGAAUAAGGAUCGGCUAACUUCGUGCCAGCAGCCGCGGUAAGACGAAGGAUCCAAGCGUUGUCCGGAUUUACUGGGUUUAAAGGGUGCGUAGGCGGAAAAUUAAGUCAGUGGUGAAAGCCCGCAGCUCAACUGUGGAACUGCCAUUGAAACUGGUUUUCUUGAAUAUAGCUGAGGCAGAUGGAAUAUAACAUGUAGCGGUGAAAUGCUUAGAUAUGUUAUAGAACACCGAUUGCGAAGGCAGUCUGCUAAACUAUUAUUGACGCUGAGGCACGAAAGCGUGGGGAGCGAACAGGAUUAGAUACCCUGGUAGUCCACGCCCUAAACGUUGAUUACUCGCUGUUGGCGAUAUACUGUCAGUGGCUAAGCGAAAGCAUUAAGUAAUCCACCUGGGAAGUACGACCGCAAGGUUGAAAC
rnacentral:rRNA from 1 species